rnacentral:rRNA from 1 species
AGCGAACGCUGGCGGCAGGCUUAACACAUGCAAGUCGAGCGGGCCCUUCGGGGGUCAGCGGCAGACGGGUGAGUAACACGUGGGAACGUACCCUUCGGUUCGGAAUAACUCAGGGAAACUUGAGCUAAUACCGGAUACGCCCUUUUGGGGAAAGGUUUACUGCCGAAGGAUCGGCCCGCGUCUGAUUAGCUUGUUGGUGGGGUAGCGGCCUACCAAGGCGACGAUCAGUAGCUGGUCUGAGAGGAUGAUCAGCCACACUGGGACUGAGACACGGCCCAGACUCCUACGGGAGGCAGCAGUGGGGAAUAUUGGACAAUGGGCGCAAGCCUGAUCCAGCCAUGCCGCGUGAGUGAUGAAGGCCUUAGGGUUGUAAAGCUCUUUUGUCCGGGACGAUAAUGACGGUACCGGAAGAAUAAGCCCCGGCUAACUUCGUGCCAGCAGCCGCCGCCGUAA